rnacentral:lncRNA from 1 species
CUGCAAAGGAGUCCUACAUCUAAAUUAUAACUAUCUUUAAACCUAAAAAAUGACGGGUCACAUUUCAAAUGUUGAAUAAAGCAGUUCUUUCAGUAUGAACCUUAAUUAUUUCAACUUUGCAUUUUAAUCACAAGAAAAUCAGUCCCGAUGUUCCAUGCAUAAAUACCAGUGGGAUGAAGGCUUGUAGCUCCCUAUACACCAAUAUACCAUAUGUGCUUGUACAUCAGAAUGCUUGGAAAAAAAAAGAAAUAUUCACGAUUUUCAGCUUUCUAAUGUUAAGAGUAUAUAAAAUAGAAUAGUCAUUUCUAUUUAAUGCAAUCGAAUUAACUAGCCUUAAUACUUUGUCACCAC